CCGCCGCUGCCCUUCCCGGGACGGGACCCCCUCCUCGUCCGCUUGCCCCCUGCACCCCAGCGGCCCCACUCCUUCCUCCCUGGUGCGAGUGCGCCCGAGCGUUGACUUUUCGGUGACUCCCUUUCCCCCGCCUCGCAGAGACCUUCUGUGGCUCCCCGCCCCCCCAUCCGGCCUCUCAGACGUGGCUCUUGGAGGCAGGGGGUGGGGUGGGGGGGGAGGAGGUAUAAAGGGCGGGAGACCUCGCGAGCCGAGACCCGAGACGUGGCGCGCCCACCCUGCCGGCCUCAUCUCCAGCCACGUCGCUGCCCUGCCUCCUCUGUGGAGCGGAGCCCAGAUCGCCACCCAGAAGAGGCGAAGAUGUGGCCGUAGGUCAGGAACGCCCUCAAAGGGAAACCUGUAUAUUUGUGAUCUUUACGCCGCGAGGAGAUAGUAUGAAUGUCAUGAAAAACCUCCGUCCAGAAAUCGUAGUCUCCAGGCGUCUGCAUCGUCACUGGCCUUUCCUACAGAGGAGCCAGGGACAACAUAUCACAGUCCUCAACCACAGUGUUCUUGCACCCCGGUCUUCUUUCUUUUAGAUCCAUGGCUUUUAAGGAUUGAUUGAACUGCUGGAUCAUCUGAUCAACCCCAUCAGUGUUUCUUUGUUUGCAGAUGGCCACAUUUUGGUGAAAAGAUAGGCCAUUUUAUGCCACGCUGGGAUUGCCUAGUGCUCUUUGUUGUUCAUGUAUGUAAAGACCCAUGAUUAUGGCUACAGGUGAUGCAGACUUAAGUUUUGAGAGAUGAGGCAUCUCCAGGUCGGCAGAGCUUAGGGUGCCUUCAGCCCCUACUCAAGUCCCUGGAGCUUCACCAGAAACUCUUUAGGGUUCUUUUACCCAAGAAAGGCUCACCACCGCCCUUUAUGUAGCAGCCGCUCCCCUGUAAGCAGACCAGUUUUAUUCAAGAACAGCAGCCCGGAAACCAGGACGCAAUAGAAAGAAAAUAUGUCUGGCACAUGUGAGAAGGAGCAUAUGUGGGCACCGUACAAGGGGCAGGUGCCCGGACCUUACAUAGAAGGACUGGAUCCUCUCUGUGGGCACCUGCUCUCAGCCCUCUGCCAGUCUGCGCCCUGGACACUCAUCCUCUCCGUUUCUCUAAGUUUCCACCCGAGUCCAUCCAGAGCCUGCCUCGAGCUUCCCUUGUCUGGUCAGAGAAACAUGCUUUGCCCCUGGCACCUGGGCGGUGGAGGUUGACCCAGCACAGCUUGACCUUCACACGACCCAGGUGAGUUCUUAUCUGGGAACGCCCUGGAAUUAAUUCCACGGGUGAAAAACGCCUCAUGGCUACAUUCAGGGAGGCAGCCUACUUAAAGCCCGCCUGCUAAGAGCCACUGCAAAAACUGAAGGAUACAACAGCCCGAGGCUACAUUCAACGAGAAGUGCUCACUUAGUUUUCACUCAGAAAAGUUUAGUAAUUCAUCUUGCUUCCAGGAAGGGCCUGGUAACAAAAGACACUGCAUAUUACUUUAGUAAAACUUGUGCUUUUACUUCUGUGUAUCCAGAGGACCAAAGUAGAUUAGAGAUCUGCAAGUAUUUUUGCCUUUUCUUUAUGGUUGAAUUUCUACCAACCCAAUUUCCGUUAAAAAAAAAAAAAAAAAAAAAAAGAAAAAGUAAAAAAUAUCCAUGCUCAAAACACCUGAAGUCAUUUUUUUUUUUAAUAAGUAUAGUAUGGGGAGAAGGAAGAAGCUAGGUUUAAAAGAUUCUUGGAAUCCCUAGAGGAAAUACAGAUGGUUUAUAGCAUGGAAAUAAGCAUCCGUAUGGUUUCCUAAGUGGUAUUUUCUGACAUUGGGCCUUGUAUGUAUCUCGUAUCUACAAGCAAAUAAUUGCUAUGCUGGAAUCCAUGUUCUUUUUAUUCCUCUGUCUUUGGAAAUAGAGCUUUGGGGGGAACUAAGUCCCUUUGGAAAUAUAUUUUCAAAAAUAAUGUUAGUCCUACAUAGAUUUAGGAAUAAAAUACAAAUUGGUUUGC